AAGGAUAUAGCUCAGUGGUAGAGCACGUGCUUAGCAGGCAGGAGGUUCUGAGUUCAAUCCCCAGUACCUCUA
rnacentral:tRNA from 1 species